CCUACGGGAGGCAGCAGUGAGGAAUAUUGGUCAAUGGACGAGAGUCUGAACCAGCCAAGCAGCGUGAAGGAUGACUGCUCUAUGGGUUGUAAACUUCUUUUAUAUGGGAAUAAAAUGUUCCACGUGUGGGAUUUUGUAUGUACCAUAUGAAUAAGGAUCGGCUAACUCCGUGCCAGCAGCCGCGGUAAUACGGAGGAUCCGAGCGUUAUCCGGAUUUAUUGGGUUUAAAGGGAGCGUAGGUGGAUUGUUAAGUCAGUUGUGAAAGUUUGCGGCUCAACCGUAAAAUUGCAGUUGAAACUGGCAGUCUUGAGUACAGUAGAGGUGGGCGGAAUUCGUAGUGUAGCGGUGAAAUGCUUAGAUAUCACGAAGAACUCCAGUUGCGAAGGCAGUUCACUGGACUGCAACUGACAGUGAGGCUCGAAAGUGUGGGUAGCAAACAGGAUUAGAUACCCGUGUAGUC
rnacentral:rRNA from 1 species